rnacentral:tmRNA from 1 species
GGGGCUGACUUGGAUUUCGACAGAUUUCUUGUCGCACAGAUAGCAUGCCAAGUGCUGCUUGUAAAACAGCAACAAAAAUAACUGUAAACAACACAGAUUACGCUCCAGCUUACGCUAAAGCUGCGUGAGUUAAUCUCCUUUUGGAGCUGGACUGAUUAGAAUUUCUAGCGUUUUAAUCACUCCAUAACCUUAAGCUAGACGCUUUUAAAAGGUGGUUCGCCUUUUAAACUAAGAAACAAGAACUCUUGAAACUACCUCAAGGUUUUAGAAAGUUGGACCAGAGCUAGUUUUAAGGCUAAAAAGCUAACCAAUUUUCUAAGCAUUGUAGAAGUUUGUGUUUAGAACAAGAUUUUUGGACUGGGGUUCGAUUCCCCACAGCUCCACCA